GAUCCUGGCUCAGGAUGAACGCUGGCGGCGUGCUUAACACAUGCAAGUCGAGCGAAGCACUUAGGAAAGAUUCUUCGGAUGAUUUCCUAUUUGACUGAGCGGCGGACGGGUGAGUAACACGUGGGUAACCUGCCUUCAUACAGGGGGAUAACAGUUAGAAAUGACUGCUAAUACCGCAUAAGACCACAGCACUGCAUGGUGCAGGGGUAAAAACUCCGGUGGUAUGAGAUGGACCCGCG
rnacentral:rRNA from 1 species